GAUGAACGCUGGCGGCGUGCUUAACACAUGCAAGUCGAACGAGAAAUGGAGACGGAACCCUUCGGGCGGAAGGCUUCAUUUCGAGUGGCGGACGGGUGAGUAACGCGUGGGUAACCUGCCUCAUACAGGGGGAUAACAGUUGGAAACGACUGUUAAUACCGCAUAAGACCACAGCACCGCAUGGUGCGGGGGUAAAAACUCCGGUGGUAUGAGAUGGACCCGCGUUCGAUUAGCCAGUUGGCGGGGUAACGGCCCACCAAAGCGACGAUCGAUAGCCGAUCUGAGAGGAUGACCGGCCACAUUGGGACUGAGACACGGCCCAAACUCCUACGGGAGGCAGCAGUGGGGAAUAUUGCACAAUGGGGGAAACCCUGAUGCAGCGACGCCGCGUGAGUGAAGAAGUACUUCGGUAUGUAAAGCUCUAUCAGCAGGGAAGAAAAUGACGGUACCUGAGGAAGAAGCCCCGGCUAACUACGUG
rnacentral:rRNA from 1 species